CCUACGGGAGGCUGCAGUGGGGAAUAUUGGGCAAUGGGCGCAAGCCUGACCCAGCAACGCCGCGUGAAGGAAGAAGGCUUUCGGGUUGUAAACUUCUUUUCUCAGGGACGAAGCAAGUGACGGUACCUGAGGAAUAAGCCACGGCUAACUACGUGCCAGCAGCCGCGGUAAUACGUAGGUGGCAAGCGUUAUCCGGAUUUACUGGGUGUAAAGGGCGUGUAGGCGGGGACGCAAGUCAGAUGUGAAAUCCACGGGCUCAACCUGUGGUCUGGAUUUGAAACUGUGUUUCUUGAGUACUGGUGAGGCAGACGGAAUUCCUGGUGUAGCGGUGAAAUGCGUAGAUAUUAGGAGGAACACCAGUGGCGAAGGCGGUCUGCUGGACUGUAACUGACGUUGAGGCUCGAAAGCGUGGGGAGCAAACAGGAUUAGAUACCCCAGUAGUC
rnacentral:rRNA from 1 species